UUCGUCACACCCAAAAAUACCGCUCCCGACGGUUUCUCUCUUUCGCCUCUUCCACUCCUUCCCUAAUCUGCUCCUCCUCGCUGGCUACCGCUGCCGCUCCCCCCACCGUGCUCUCGGCGCCUCUCCCGCACCACCCGGCCAGAUCAUGCGCCUCCCCAGCGGGUAGGCCGGCAGCGCUCCUCACCGGUCUGCUGCGCUCCCCACCAGAGCAUGUUCAAUCUGAUGUCGGCAUGAUCCGCCGCCACCCCGUCCUGGCGCGUAGGCGUCGGCCGGAAUGUCUCCGCCCGCCUCUGCAGCCGUUGCCCCCCAAAGCUAAUCCCGCCUGCAGGAGCAAGGUUAGCCUGCACUAGCAGGUUGGUCGCAGUUCAUAUUCUACUUUCUUGUGCAAUCGCUAGAGUACAACAUGCUCAAGAUCUCGGUUCACAACCUGCAAGGAUAAUCUACCUAUCAUCACUUUCGCUAUUUUGAAAUUAAUAGUUCGUAAAUCAACCAUCUAAUGGUUGCAUAUGUGGCCACUUCGCAGAAGAUAGGAUAUGUGUCCAUGACUCAAGUUAGCCUAGCGCGUUUCCUGAUUACUAGAUUUCUUACUGUGGCUAAGAUAACAUUUGAUUAAUUUCCUUUCUAUGAAGAGCUUACUUAUGAAAAUUGACGACGCUGUGUUCAAGGCUUUUGCCCUUUAUCAUGUUUAUAUUUAUAUUGUGUUCCACGGUUCCACCUUUGUCUGUAUUUUGGCAGGCAUGAAUAUCAAGUGAUGCUUCCUUUGUGCACCUCAUAAUCAUGAAUUACGAAGUACUAAAUAUCCAUGCUGGCUGGAUGACCGUAGGUGCAUACAUGGAGAAAAUGGGAAGAUUAAGCAUUUUGGGACAAUCACGGUCUUUUUUCCUGCAAGUGUACUUCUCUUUAUAGUCUUUUAUCUUAGAAGAAAGGGUAAGAUACAACACUGAAAUAUAUUUGAGUUUAUGAUGUCAAAUAGAGCCUAUGCUUCUACGAUUGAGAAUGACGAAUUCAGUGUUAGUUCCUAAGACAUUCAUAUUGAAAUAACAAAUCCUGAGAUAAUAUGCCUUAGCAGUUUUUCUCAAUUUUGCAGUCAUUUUAAUUCAGCCAUCAAUUUGGUUCUCUUUUUGCUUUCGAAAUUCAGGUAGGGAAAACAUUCUGAUGGACCAUUAAAAUGUAAUGUUCUUGAUAUGCCUUAGCAGUUUCUCUCAAUUUUGCAGUCAUUUUAAUUCACCCAUCAAUUUGGUUCUCUUUUUUGCUUUCAAAAUUCAGAUAGGGAAAACAUUUUGAUGGACCAUUAAAAUAUACUGUUCUUGCUUCUUUAAUUGGAGCAAUUUCCUUGUGCUAUUCAUGGUGCUGUAUAUAUUUAACUAUGUUUGAUGUUAAACUGCAUCUGAUCAAUCCUCUUCGAAUUAACAUUUAUCAUGUAAUAUUUAACUAUGUUGAUGUUAGCUCAUCUUAAGUGAUAUCCCUUUACAACAGGCUAUUAUGUAUGGCCCUGCUUUGGGUGUCGAUAGAGAAGAUGAGCAUCAUGCGAAGAGGUAGUUUUGCACUUCGAAGAACUCUAUUUGGAUCUAAAUCCAACUGAUUCUUUAUCGUGGUUUGCAUCAUGCCUCCAAUGCAGGACAAAAGUAGUCCGCUCUAGAGAUACAAAGAUUGGCGAUAGAUGUCAUGGUGACGGUGUUUGGCCGGGGUGAAAGCCUGACGGUGGCUGGCUGAAUGCAGCGAUGCCCGCACGCGCCGUUUUCCUUCUUGGAAGUGUGUUCAUGGACGUGUUCAUGGUCUUCACCAUGCCUCCCCUCGGAUGCAGUGGAAAACCCUAGGUCGGGUGACCAGAUCAAGCUGCUGUGGCGCCGAUGUCGUCAUCUUCUGGAAGAAGUCGUCUAGGCCAUGAGGGGAGUGGCCAAUGUGACAAUUGGAGUUGGAGGCAUUUAUGCACCGCCGGUGUUGGCCAUAGCUGUAGGCUUGUGCUUCCAAGGCGCAACGUACGACAUGGCGGCACAUCUUGUUGGGCGACUUCCCCGAGUCCGUCAGGAUUCUGCCUCCUCCUCACCGACUCCUCUAGGCACAUGAGUCGAAGUCGUGCUACGGUGUGUCUUUUUUGGUUCUUGACUUGGUUCAGAAGCCAUGUGAUCCCCUUCUUGUCAUUCUUUGUUCGAUGUUGGGCAAGGCGAAUCGUUUAUUAUUGGGUUUUGUAGAUGGUGUUUUUGUUUGCCUCUCGACGUUGUAUUGUGGAGUGAAGUUGUGUCCUUGUUGGCAUUUUAUGGUGGUGUGGAGUUGUAACCUUCUUGGCAUUAUACCGGUCGUCUUUGGCCUUUCUUCUAUAUGAUUAUACCCCUUUUAGGAUGUAUUCUAAACAAAUGUGUUGCCUAAAAGUUGUAAGUAUAAUUGUAUGGUAAAUGUAAGAAGAUUUUAUCGGUAU